ensembl:lncRNA
AACCUUGGAGAAACCAGAUUGAGAGAAAAAUGAGGCAAGAAGAAGUGCAAAGAUAAGAGGCAUUACUGAGAGGACCCAAGUUUUGUAAUUAAUGAAGCUAACUGCUUGGACUCACAGUACAUCCUCAGAUCUUCAGAGAAGUUGUACGAACUACCCUGUCUUGGAACAUCCUCAGGAGGAGAAAAUGAAAACUAAUUUUUGGAUCCUGAACACACUGACUGAGCAAGAAUAUCAGUUGUGGCUUUAAGACCAGCUGCAUUGGCAGGGUUGGUAGUGUCUCCCUCUAACCUCCCUUUUAAGUUUCUCCCAGGAAAGAUGACCAUGGGAAUCCUGGAGUUGUAGCUCCUGGAACCUAAAUGAAAAAGUGCUCUGUGUGGCAAAGGGGCAGACUGUAGUGGACACCUGGUGUACUGCCCAGAUUCCCCCUCAAGAGUGAAGGACUGGCCGGGCGCGGUGGCUCAAACCUGUAAUCCCAGCACUUUGGGAGGCCAAGACGGGCGGACCACGAGGUCAGGAGAUCAAGACCAUCCUGGCUAACACGGUGAAACCCCGUCUCUACUAAAAAAAUACAAAAAAACUAGCCCUAGGGGCGAGGUGGCGGGCGCCUGUAGUCCCAGCUACUUGGGAGGCUGAGGCAGGAGAAUGGCAUGAACCCAGGAGGCGGAGCUUGCAGUGAGCUGAGAUCCGGCCACUGCACUUCAGCCUGGGCAACAGAGCGAGACUCCGUCUCAAAAAAAAAAAAAAAAAAAAAAGAGUGAGGGACUUAUUUCUAUAGCUGCUGGCAGUGUUGUCAGCAAAUAACCAUCAGAUAUCAGUGCUCUUCAGGAAGUGCCUGGGUUGAAGAGUCCUGGCUCACCCAAGGUCAUGCCCUCUCCCAAGGCAGUUCAUGCCUUAUUACUGGUGGACAUAAAGGCACAAAGGCCCAGCUCCGCUCACUCCAACUUGGGACAACCCUGAAGUGCCAUUACAGCUUCAAAGCUCCUCAAGGAGAUGGCUACUGCUUUUAUUGAAUCUGUAUCUGUAUCACAGUCAACUUCCUCACUUUGCCUAAUCCUUCUUCCUUCCCUUUCCAAGAUGUUGAUCCCAAGAGCUCUCCUUAGCACAUAUCUGAGUCUUCCUUCUACAGAAGCCAGUUUAUGACAAUAGGAGGUUGUCCUUAUUCUUAGGGGAUGUAUACUUAGGAGUGAAGUGUCAUAACAUGGGUAACUUAUUUUCAAAUUAUUCAGGAAAAUGUGUAUGCAUAUAUGUAUAAAAAGGAGACAAAGAGAUAAAGCAAGUAUGGUAGCAUCUUAACAACUGGUGAAUCUGGAUGAUUCAUAUAUGGAUGUUUAUUGUAGCAUUCUUCUGCCUUUUCUGAGGAUUUGACAUUUACAAAAUAUCAAGGUGAAAACAAAAUCCCUUUCCUCUAUUUUUAAUAGGUGUUUCAGUGGGAACAAAAUUAGGCUUGUAUAUUCAAUCUGUAUCUUUACCUGGGAUCUCUUCAUUAUUUUUAAACCUUCAUUUUGCUUUUCUAAUACAAUUAUUGAAAUCUGUACAGUCAUACCUUGUUUUACUGCACUUUCCAGGUAUUGUGUUUUCAUAAAUUGAAGAACUGUGGCAACUCUGCAUAGAGCAACUCCACCAUUUUUUUCUAACAACAUGUCCUCACUUCAUGUCUCUGUGUCACAUUUUGGUAAUUCUCACAAUAUUUCAAACUUUUUCAUGAUGAUUUUAUCUGUUAUGGUGAUUUGUGAUCAAAUCAAAACAACCUCUGAUGUUACUAUUUUAAUUGUUUUGGGGUAUGAAUGUGCCCAUAUGACAGUGAAUUUGAUCCAUAAAUAUUGUAUGUGUU